GUCCACGCUGUAAACGAUGUCAACUAGCCGUUGGACUCUUUAAGGGUUCAGUGGUGCAGCUAACGCGAUAAGUUGACCUCCUGGGGAGUACGGUCGCAAGAUUAAAACUCAAAUGAAUUGACGGGGGCCCGCACAAGCGGUGGAGUAUGUGGUUUAAUUCGAUGCAACGCGAAGAACCUUACCUGGCCUUGACAUGUCCGGAACUUACCAGAGAUGGUUUGGUGCCUUCGGGAACCGGAACACAGGUGCUGCAUGGCUGUCGU
rnacentral:rRNA from 1 species